UACGGAGGGUGCAAGCGUUAUCCGGAUUUAUUGGGUUUAAAGGGUCCGUAGGCGGGCUUGUAAGUCAGUGGUGAAAUCUCAUAGCUUAACUAUGAAACUGCCAUUGAUACUGCAGGUCUUGAGUAAGGUAGAAGUAGCUGGAAUAAGUAGUGUAGCGGUGAAAUGCAUAGAUAUUACUUAGAACACCAAUUGCGAAGGCAGGUUACUAUGUCUUAACUGACGCUGAUGGACGAAAGCGUGGGUAGCGAAC
rnacentral:rRNA from 1 species